GGUUGACCUCGGAUCAGGUAGGGAUACCCGCUGAACUUAAGCAUAUCAAUAAGCGGAGGAAAAGAAACCAACAGGGAUUGCCCCAGUAACGGCGAGUGAAGCGGCAAGAGCUCAAAUUUGAAAUCUGGCCUCCCCCGGGGGUCCGAGUUGUAAUUUGCAGAGGAUGCUUCGGGCGCGGCCCCCGUCUAAGUUCCUUGGAACAGGACGUCAGAGAGGGUGAGAAUCCCGUCUUGGGCGGGCGGCCCGCGCCCGUGUGAAGCUCCUUCGACGA
rnacentral:rRNA from 1 species